rnacentral:misc_RNA from 1 species
CAGAAUUGUUAGGUUGAGGUUGUCGCUGACUUCUAUUUGAAGUAUGUGCACGCCUCUUCCAAAACUCUUCACUUUAACCACCUGUGCACCUUUUGUGAGCUUUUGUGCUGGAUAAUGAUUUUUCAUUGCGGUUUGAGAUUUGCGCCUAACACGCGCUUUUCUUGUUUACUGUCGCAUGUGUGUGGGUCUUUAUCCGCCAAAGUUCAUGUUUACUACACACACCAUGUAUUUUAAACCUCAGAAUGCUUCAUUAGAGUUGGGACUCUAGCGCCCUUCUUUAUAAACAAAAAGUCUAUA